rnacentral:lncRNA from 1 species
GCCGACAGCUCGGAAUUCAGAAAGGAUGCUGGUGCUCACAUGACGAAGAAUAGCAGAUGCUCAUCUCCUUCAGUUACUAGACAAUAAAAACGAUGAAAACCGAAGGAAGAAGCAAAAAUAAAUUUAUUUCUUUACUGAAAGAAGAGGAGAAUGUCCUCUUGGAGGAGUGCGGUUAGCCCCGGUGUUAGGAGCAGCCUACCUGUGUCAAGAGCCUUUCCAUGUGCUGCUUUGAGAGUGUUUGGAACCGGCGCCCAUUCCCUGCCUCUACAGAAAUGGAUCUCGAAUGUGCCUAGAAGGAUCUGGGGCUGAGGCCGCCACUACUCCUAGCCCCUUGAUGAUUCAGGAAUGCCUCUACUGGCUGAGCACGCCCUCCGUCCCUCAGUGAUCCAGUCAGACAGGAAUUCAUCACUGAGCCACUACUCCGGACUCCCAGCUCCUAGCUCAUGUCCCUGCAGUGUAUCCAGUAAACUAAAUUUAGACCCUCGGGGACAACAGAGAAGGAGCCAUGUGGCCCAGAUCUCUGUCUUCGUGUGCGGUGGGCUAUAUGACAUGCUUGCCUUCUCCGAUCUGAAAACCUAGGCUAGAUUUGGGUCUAGUGAAACAACUUGGGGGUUGGGGAAAAGGCUACAAUCGGAAACUGCGCAUUUCUGUAACAAUAACUUCAGACAAAGUAAGAUGAAGAGGUUUGAAAAAUAAAUACAAUUGCCAUGAAAACCAAA